rnacentral:rRNA from 1 species
UUUUUCAAGGAAGAAGCAAGUGACGGUACUUGAAGAAUCAGCAUCGGCUAACUCCGUGCCAGCAGCCGCGGUAAUACGGAGGAUGCAAGCGUUAUCCGGAAUCAUUGGGCGUAAAGCGUCCGCAGGUGGCCGAUCAAGUCUGCUGUCAAAGACCAGAGCUUAACUCUGGGCAGGCAGUGGAAACUGGUAAGCUAGAGUACGGUAGGGGUUGAGGGAAUUCCCAGUGUAGCGGUGAAAUGCGUAGAUAUUGGGAAGAACACCAGUGGCGAAGGCGCUCAACUGGGCCGUAACUGACACUCAGGACGA